UUUUGCUGGAGUGAGAGGUCUCCUGGAGCCAUCCACCAAGGAUGGAAGGGAGUUCCUACAGGGGAGGGCCCCGAUGUCUACUGACAUCUGUGACCUAAGUAGCGCCCUGUACCACGAGGCUGCUGAAACAGGAGGGGAAUCGGGAGAGGGAGCCUGCUCCAGAGGAGACUCAGAGGGAGAGAAGGAGAUAGAAGGUGAUCAGCAAACUCGGGUAUUACACGCUUAAUGUGCUUCUGGUCUUCCAUGUUAGGAGGCAGACUGCAAACAUCUUCAAAAUUCUCCUGAAUUUAUAGGUUAAUUAGCAUAAGCUUCUAAAGAUGUGCCAUUUACAGCAAGAUCCCUCUAAAAAGAGAGUCUUGUUGAUGAAAACAAAACUGAAAGCCAAAUAACCAUAACUAGGUUAUUUGAACUGUUGGCUCUGACCCUCAGAUCCAAGGCAAGAGAACUGUGGAACUCAGAUCCUUGGAGUCAAAGGACUUGAGAAGUCAAGUGGUCCGAGGCUUGGAUUUAUAUAUGCAUGUUUAAUGCUUAUCCUUAAGAAACUGAGGCUCAAAGCAGUUGAGAGACUUGCCCAAGGUCACACGGCUGUGAGUUCCAGAGCCUAGAGUAGAUCCCACAUCCUAUUACCUGGAGCCCUUUUCAUUAAAACACCAGCCGCCCUUCCAGCUGAUGAGGUGGGUAGGGUUUAUGACUACUGCAGAAGAACAGAGAGAGAAGUUUAGAGCAGGGUGGAGUUUCAGAGGUAACAUGCCAUUCCCUUACCUGUGAAAUGGACAGUGCCAAUGACCUGCCCACAACUCAGAAAUUAGUGACCCGGCUGAGCCUCGAGCUUCUUGACUUUUGCCCAGGCACCUUGCUUCUCCUCAAAGCUCCCUGAGGUGCCCAGUGGCAUCUCAGGGGAAACUAAACCCAGGGAAGAGGCUUCAGGGCACCUCUGGUGCACAGUGAGGGUUCAAUUAAAUCUACACCAGAGCUUUAGCUCUCCCCAUGACGGUACUUGUGAAAGUUCCCAGGUUUACAGGAGUGGCUGAAUGGUGGCCCCCAUAAGAUACAUCCACAUCAAAUCUCUGGAACCUGUGAAUGUUUGGAAAAAGGGUCUUUGCAGAUGUAACUGAGCUAAGGAUCCUGAGAUGAGGAGAUCGUCCUAGAUUGUCUGGGUGGUGGGCCCUAUGUCCAAUAACAAGUGUCCUUCUAAGAGAAAAGCGAGGGGGAGUUUGACAGAGAAGGGAAGACGCAGAGGGGAAGGUAUGUGAAGAUGGUGGCAGAGAUGUGGGUCAUGCAGCCACAGGCCACCAGAGGCUGGAAGAGGCCAGGCCAGGUUCUCCCGGAGACCCUUUGGAGGGAGCAGGGCCCUGAUGACAUGGCAGUUUGGGACUUCUGGCCUCUAAGAACUGUGAGAGAGUCAGGUUAUGUCAUCUUAAUCCAUGACUGUUGUAGCAGAUACAGGAAACUGAUACUUUUACAAUCUCUACGCAUAAAAUCAAUCAGAAAAAAACAACCACUCCCACAACAAGCACAACAAAAAAACCAAGGAUCCCAGAAGGGAUGAGCAGAAUGUGGUAUACCCAUACAGUGGAAUACUAUUCAGCCUUAAAAAGGAAGGAAAUUCUGACACAUGCUGCAACACAGAUGAACCUUGAGGAAUUAUGCUCACACACACACAAGAACCUCCACUUAUGUGAGGUUCCUAGAUUAGUCAAAUGCACAGAGAGAGAAAGUAGAAUGGUCGUUGCCAGGGCAGGGGGUGGGGCUGUUGACUGUUGUAUACUCACCAUUAUUGUUUAGUACAUGUAGAGUUUUAGUUUUAUAAGAUGUAAAGAGUCAUAGAGAUGGAUGAUGAUGAUGAAUUAAGAUUAUGAAUGUAUUUAAUACCGCUGAACUGUCCAUUUAAAAAUAGUUAAGCUAGUAAAAUUUACAUUAAUUUUUAAAACUGGGCAGGGAAAAACCCAAAAGGCAAGGAUGACAGCCUUUACACACUCACAAUCAUAAUGUUUCAGCAACAAUGGGGUCAGAGAAUGAAAGGCAGAGAAGGAAGGCGGAGUGUGUGGAGACCAGGCCUGUUUUCCAGUGGAAACCAAGCCAAAGUGACUCAUGAGCUGUCACAUGUCAGUGCGCUGACCCUGCAGGACGUUUUUCUGGAUCCCACACCCAUCUGAGGAGGUCAGCACAUCCACUGGGUGGAUCUUGAAUCGACCCUGAACACAAACGACUCCCAGAAGUUCCAACUCUGAAGACAUUUGUGGAAAGCCUCCAAGCCUUCAACUUACAAAUGGCCCUGGCUGAAACCAGAAGCCAGUCUGGUGAGAGGCCCCCGAAGCCACAGCAGACAUUCCCCUCCAGGGAGAAGCCAAGGUGAGCAGGUGAGAAAAAGAUGAAAAAAGUGGAAAAGGAGACUCAUGUUUCUGAGGGCCUCUGAGGAAAAUGAAGGUGGCUUUGAGCCACUCGGCCACUUACCUCCAGGACCUUCCCUGUGAUAAACUGGUGGCAGGCUUCACAUUUCACCCCAAAGAGCCCCUGGUAGUCCUUUUCGCAGUACGGGGCACCAUCCCUGCAAGACAAAGAGUGUUCAGCUCCUGAGAGGAGGCCACAGGGCGGGGGAGACGCCGAAGCACAUCCCUGUGAGCCCUUUUCCACAGAACGGUCGUAGGACAUACUUCUCUGCCACCCAGCACUCCCAUGCCCGGAGAGCCGGUGAGAUACGAUCAAAACACACGGAACCAGAUAACCCACAGAAAUAACAGCCAAACCACCACACGAUCACCACUGUGAUUCCUCGAUUGUCUCAAGUCCUAAGAAGCAAAACCCUGCCCCGCCCUCUUGCACCACCAGGCCAGAUGCGCUUCGGCUGUGGUCCCAGUGUUCACUGCCCUCCGAGGCGGCCCGCACGCUGCCUGCCCCGUCUGCUUGAGCUCACACACCAGAGCCCCCCAAAGCGCUGAGACACCAGCACGUCCUCAGCCCGCAGGCAGCCUGAGGGGCCCGGCGCCUUCUCGGAUAGCUUCCCACAACCUCCUUCGUUCACCUCGGAGCACAGUAAAAAUGCCAUUUUCUCUGUGUACCAUUGCAUUGGAAAUAUUUAAAAGCACCACUCCAGCCAGCCCAGUAACCUAUGACUGCACAGCCUUCAGUGUUCGUUUAAAAGACGGUCACUUUUCUUUUCUUACUUCGGCUGUGCCUCAGAAUCACCUGUGGAGUUUUCCUUCCUAAUACGGCUAUUUCAGCCUCCUCCCAGACCUACCCAGUUAGUUCUCUAGGAGGUGGGGCCCAAGCUACCUUCUUCGUUUUACUAUAUUCUUAAGUUAACUUCAUUUAAUAUUUCUGAAUAGGUGAUAUAUUCACCUGGUUGUAGAACUUUUUUUUAAAGCAUAAGAAGGUGUAUAAGUGAAAAUCCUUCCUCAUCGCCACUGGACCCCCAUGCUUAUCCUUUGCUCCUUAACUCAAAAGGCAACCACUGUAGCUAGUUUCUCCAGGUUACAUUAAAAAAAAGAAAAAAAAAAGGCAGAAAAGCCUUCACUGACUUGAGCUAUAAUCUACACGAGCGUCUGAACCUACCACAAACCCAUUCCCCGGAGGGCCGUCUUAAGCAAGGCCCUAAUAGGUCAGUGCCUAGACCCUGUGUGUCUUUUGGGUGGCCUACAAAUAUGUCUACAUCCUGAAAGAGCAGGACAAAGGUCUACUAGUUCCAAAUAGGGGGCAAGAUUAACCAAAGCAAAAUUAACGAAUGCUUAAUUGGCUACAACAUACAGAGUAACAGGUCUGCUUCACUAAUAGUUAAACCAGGCAAUGAUGAUCAUUUCAUUAAAUGUAUGGUAGGCAAACUAUGGUGAUGGAAGAAUAAAAUUCUUUUCAAAGAGAUUAGAAAAACUAAGACAGUUUUAGAGCAAAGGUUCAUAAUGACUGUGGGACAUGAAUGUCUUUCCUGUCGGUGGGUUGGGGUGGGCGGGUCCCUGAGGGUGGAGCCUACGGGGGAGGGGCCAAAGCACCCCUCCCACAUACAGCAUACAGGAUCGCGCGGCCGAGACCCCGCCUUACUUGCUGAUGUACUCCCCGGUGAGGACCUUCCCGCAGGACUUGCAUUUGAAGCACCCCAAGUGCCACUGCUUUUCCAGCGCCAGCAGCGCCUGCCCGUUCUUGAUGUCUCUCCCGCAGCCGGCGCAAUCUGGAAGAGAGCGGCAGCCGGCGGUUACUGCAUUCGUCCUGCUAACUCCAAGCUUUGAGGCCAGUUCUGAACCCCAGUGUGCACCAUCACACACUCAAUAAAUAUUUACUUGAGCACCA